rnacentral:tRNA from 1 species
UGGGAUAUAGUUUAAUGGUAGAACAACGGACUCUGACUCCGUAUAUCUUGGUUCGAGUCCAGGUAUCCCAGCCA